rnacentral:rRNA from 1 species
ACGGAAGUGAGAAUGCCGGCAUAAGUAGCGAGAAACGCGUGAGAAACGCGUUCGCCGAAUGCCCGAGGAUUCCUGGGGAAGGUUAAUCCGCCCAGGGUUAGGCGGGACCUAAGGCGAGGCCGAAGGGCGUAGUCGAUGGACAGCAGGUAGACAAUCCUGCCCCGCCCUGGGUCCGUUAACACCGAUGGGGUGACGCAAGAGGCUAGGUGCUCCGGGUGAUGGAAUACCCGGUACAAGGAAGUAGGGGGACGGACCAGGCAAAUCCGGUCUGUUAUUAACCCUGAGAUCCGAAGUGGAGCUUCUGUAAUGGGAGCGAAGUCAUUGAGGCCCUAUUGCCGAGAAAAGCCUCUAGGGAGGACUUGGGGCGCCCGUACCUCAAACCGACACAGGUGGGCUGGCUUAGCAGGCUAAGGCGGACGAGAUAACCCUCACCAAGGAACUCUGCAAGUUGACCCCGUAACUUAGGGAGAAGGGGUGCCGCGGCGGUGAAGUAUAUUCAUGCGGAGCCGCUUGCGGUCGCAGAAACCAGGCCCAGGCGACUGUUUAUUAAAAACACAGGACUCUGCUGAAGGCGUGAAGCCGACGUAUAGGGUCUGACACCUGCCCGGUGCUGGAAGGUUAAGGGGAGAGGUUAUCCGGCACUCAGCUGAUGUUGUCAGGAGUUGAAGCCAUGUAUUAUGUGUAUGUACUUGAGAACGAAGGGGUAGGCACGUACACGGGUUAUACGCGGGACUUCAGGUAGCGUAUGAUGGAGAUUCAUGGAAGAAGCUCUUAACGGCAUUUGCUGAGUGCCGGAGAAGCUUUGAACCGAAGCCCCAGUAAACGGCGGCCGUAACUAUAACGGUCCUAAGGUAGCGAAAUUCCUUGUCAGGUAAGUUCUGACCUGCACGAAUGGUGUAACGAUCUGGGCGCUGUCUCGGAGAGGGACUCGGUGAAAUUGUGGUACCGGUAAAGACGCCGGUUACCCGUGGUGGGACGGGAAGACCCCGUGGAGCUUUACUGUAGCCUGAUAUUGGGUCUCGUUAUGUCAUGUACAGUAUAGGUGGGAGGCUUAGAAGGCAUGGCGUCAGCUUUGCUGGAGCCGUCGUUGGGAUACCACCCUUGAUGUAGUGGGGUUCUAACCGCGCGAUCUUUAUCGGUCCGCGGGACAUUGUCAGGUGGGCAGUUUGACUGGGGCGGUCGCCUCCUAAAGAGUAACGGAGGCGCGCGAAGGUCACCUCGCGGCGCAUGGAAAUCGCCGGUGAGAGUGCAAGGGUAUAAGGUGGCCUUACUGUGAGACCGACAGGUCGAUCAGUCUCGAAAGAGGGUCCUAGUGAUCCGGCGGUUCCGAGUGGAAGGGCCGUCGCUCAACGGAUAAAAGCUACCCCGGGGAUAACAGGCUAAUCUUGCCCGAGAGUUCCCAUCGACGGCAAGGUUUGGCACCUCGAUGUCGGCUCGUCGCGUCCUGGGGCUGAAGCAGGUCCCAAGGGUUGGUCUGUUCGCCCAUUAAAGCGGUACGUGAGCUGGGUUUAGAACGUCGUGAGAC